GAUGAACGCUGGCGGCGUGCCUAAUACAUGCAAGUCGAGCGAAUGGAUUAAGAGCUUGCUCUUAUGAAGUUAGCGGCGGACGGGUGAGUAACACGUGGGUAACCUGCCCAUAAGACUGGGAUAACUCCGGGAAACCGGGGCUAAUACCGGAUAACAUUUUGAACCGCAUGGUUCGAAAUUGAAAGGCGGCUUCGGCUGUCACUUAUGGAUGGACCCGCGUCGCAUUAGCUAGUUGGUGGGGUAACGGCUCACCAAGGCAACGAUGCGUAGCCGACCUGAGAGGGUGAUCGGCCACACUGGGACGGAGACACGGCCCAGACUCCUACGGGAGGCAGCAGUAGGGAAUCUUCCGCAAUGGACGAAAGUCUGACGGAGCAACGCCGCGUGAGUGAUGAAGGCUUUCGGGUCGUAAAACUCUGUUGUUAGGGAAGAACAAGUGCUAGUUGAAUAAGCUGGCACCUCGACGGUACCUAACCAGAAAGCCACGGCUAACUACGUGCCAGCCGCCGCAGUAA
rnacentral:rRNA from 1 species